rnacentral:rRNA from 1 species
GGAUGAGCCCGCGGCGCAUUAGCUAGUUGGUGGGGUAAAGGCCUACCAAGGCAAUGAUGCGUAGCCGAGUUGAGAGACUGAUCGGCCACAUUGGGACUGAGACACGGCCCAAACUCCUACGGGAGGCAGCAGUAGGGAAUCUUCCACAAUGGACGCAAGUCUGAUGGAGCAACGCCGCGUGAGUGAAGAAGGUCUUCGGAUCGUAAAGCUCUGUUGUUGGAGA